rnacentral:misc_RNA from 1 species
UACGGAGGGUGCAAGCGUUAUCCGGAUUCAUUGGGUUUAAAGGGUGCGUAGGCGGACGCAUAAGUCAGUGGUGAAAUCUCCAGGCUUAACUUGGAAACUGCCAUUGAUACUGUGUGUCUUGAGUACAGAUGAUGUUGGCGGAAUAUAACAUGUAGCGGUGAAAUGCAUAGAUAUGUCAUAGGACACCGAUUGCGAAGGCAGCUAACGAAACUAUAACUGACGCUGAGGCACGAAAGUGCGGGGAUCAAACAGG